UCCUUUGUGAGAUGCCACAUCGGGGGAAACCGGAUGGCUCCACAGAAAAAGUUCGUUUAAAGGAAAAUGGUUUAAGGCCAAGGAAAUACCUAGAGAACGGAAAGUCUUGAAACCAGAGCCGGAAAAAGAAUGCCUGUGUUUUGGAGUUCCUUCUUAGGACGAAACCAGCUGAAGCUGGCGAAAUCCAAGAUGGCGCCUCUGAAGACCCUCUGGCUUUAUUAUCAUCCUGUUCUCCUGCUAAGCGACACUCCCACCAGCGCCAUGACAAUUGACAGUCGCCAUGACAACGACUGGAAGAGACCAAGAAGGGACAGAAAAAAAGGGGUUCCUUGAUUCCAGGAAAAUCUCCGUUCUUUCCCAAGAAAAGCAUGAAUAUUCCCCCCCCUUGCUCUUAAUGCCCAGCCCCUUCAUUAAAGACACCCUACGUCUGUAA
rnacentral:antisense_RNA from 1 species